GUGCUCACUUCGGCAGCACAUACACUAAAAUUGGAAGGAUACAGAGAAGAUUAGCUUGGCCCCUGCACAAGGAUGACACGCAAAUUUGUGAAGCAUUCCAUAUUUUC
ensembl:snRNA U6 U6 spliceosomal RNA